rnacentral:rRNA from 1 species
AGUGAACGCUGGCGGUAGGCCUAACACAUGCAAGUCGAACGGCAGCACAGUAAGAGCUUGCUCUUACGGGUGGCGAGUGGCGGACGGGUGAGGAAUACAUCGGAAUCUACUUUUUCGUGGGGGAUAACGUAGGCAAACUUACGCUAAUACCGCAUACGACCUACGGGUGAAAGCAGGGGAUCUUCGGACCUUGCGCGAUUGAAUGAGCCGAUGUCGGAUUAGCUAGUUGGCGGGGUAAAGGCCCACCAAGGCGACGAUCCGUAGCUGGUCUGAGAGGAUGAUCAGCCACACUGGAACUGAGACCCGGUCCAGACCCCUACGGGAGGCAGCAGUGGGGAAUAUUGGAAAAUGGGCGCAAGCCUGAUCCAGCCAUACCGCGUGGGUGAAGAAGGCCUUCGGGUUGUAAAGCCCUUUUGUUGGGAAAGAAAAGCAGCAGGUUAAUACCCCGCUGUUCUGACGGUACCCAAAGAAUAAGCACCGGCUAACUUCGUG